GGACGCGUAGCUCAGCGGGAGAGCAUUCGCUUCACACGCGAAGGGUCACAGGUUCAAUCCCUGUCGCGUCCA
rfam:Asticcacaulis biprosthecum C19 genomic scaffold ABI_scaffold00004, whole genome shotgun sequence.